UACGGAGGGGGCUAGCGUUGUUCGGAAUUACUGGGCGUAAAGCGCGCGUAGGCGGACCUGCAAGUCGGGGGUGAAAGCCCGAGGCUCAACCUCGGAACUGCCUUCGAUACUGCGGGUCUCGAGUCCGGGAGAGGUGAGUGGAAUUCCUAGUGUAGAGGUGAAAUUCGUAGAUAUUAGGAAGAACACCAGUGGCGAAGGCGGCUCACUGGCCCGGUACUGACGUUGAGGCGCGAAAGCGGUGGGGAGCAAACAGG
rnacentral:rRNA from 1 species